AGCUUUGCGCAGUGGCAGUAUCGUAGCCAAUGAGGUUUAUCCAAGGUGCGAUUAUUGCUAAUUGAGAAUUCUACAGUAAAUGAUGGC
rnacentral:snRNA from 1 species